rnacentral:rRNA from 1 species
UGGGGAAUUUUGGACAAUGGGCGAAAGCCUGAUCCAGCAAUGCCGCGUGUGUGAAGAAGGCCUUCGGGUUGUAAAGCACUUUUGUCCGGAAAGAAAUCCUUGGCUCUAAUACAGUCGGGGGAUGACGGUACCGGAAGAAUAAGCACCGGCUAACUACGUGCCAGCAGCCGCGGUAAUACGUAGGGUGCAAGCGUUAAUCGGAAUUACUGGGCGUAAAGCGUGCGCAGGCGGUUUGCUAAGACCGAUGUGAAAUCCCCGGGCUCAACCUGGGAACUGCAUUGGUGACUGGCAGGCUAGAGUAUGGCAGAGGGGGGUAGAAUUCCACGUGUAGCAGUGAAAUGCGUAGAGAUGUGGAGGAAUACCGAUGGCGAAGGCAGCCCCCUGGGCCAAUACUGACGCUCAUGCACGAAAGCGUGGGGAGCAAACAGGAUUAGAUAUCCUGGUAGUCCACGCCCUAAACGAUGUCAACUAGUUGUUGGGGAUUCAUUUCCUUAGUAACGUAGCUAACGCGUGAAGUUGACCGCCUGGGGAGUACGGUCGCAAGAUUAAAACUCAAAGGAAUUGACGGGGUCAUAGCUGUUUCCU